AUUGAACGCUGGCGGCAGGCUUAACACAUGAAAGUCGAGCGAGCGGCGGACGGGUGAGUAAUGUCUGGGAAACUGCCUGAUGGAGGGGGAUAACUACUGGAAACGGUAGCUAAUACCGCAUACCAUCAGAUGUGCCCAGAUGGGAUUAGCUAGUAGGUGGGGUAAUGGCUCACCUAGGCGACGAUCCCUAGCUGGUUUUAGAGGAUGACCCGCCCCCCUGGAACUGAGACACGGUCCCACCUCCUCCCGUCGGCGUCCGUCUUUUCUUUUCCUCCAUUUGGUCAAGCCUAAUGCAGCCAUGCCGCGUGUGUGACCACCGCCUUCUUAUUGUCCCGCACUUUCAGCGAGGAGGCGUUACUCGCAGAAGAAGCACCGGCUAACUCCGUGCCAUCAGCCGCGGUAAUAC
rnacentral:rRNA from 1 species